rnacentral:siRNA from 1 species
GUCGUUGUAGUAUAGUGGU